UUUCCGAGGGCGGCAUAAAAACAGCGAGAUCGAGCGCAGAGUGAGUGAUGGAGAGACACACAGCACACCUGAGACACCAGCGGAUGAUGACAUCCUCACCGCAGACCUGACACUGAUGGGAUCAAGUCCAGUCUAGAACCAUCUGAGUGACAUGAAAACCAGACCAGACAUGAUGUCACAAUACAAACAGAACAUAUAUAUAACAUAACAUCAGUUGAUGGCAUAAUGAUAGAACAGCAUGGAAAAAUAAUAAUGAAUAAUGAAA
rnacentral:lncRNA from 12 species